rnacentral:rRNA from 1 species
AUUGAACGCUGGCGGCAGGCCUAACACAUGCAAGUCGAACGGUAGCACAGAGAGCUUGCUCUCGGGUGACGAGUGGCGGACGGGUGAGUAAUGUCUGGGAAACUGCCCGAUGGAGGGGGAUAACUACUGGAAACGGUAGCUAAUACCGCAUAACGUCGCAAGACCAAAGUGGGGGACCUUCGGGCCUCACACCAUCGGAUGUGCCCAGAUGGGAUUAGCUAGUAGGUGGGGUAAUGGCUCACCUAGGCGACGAUCCCUAGCCGGUCUGAGAGGAUGACCAGCCACACUGGAACUGAGACACGGUCCAGACGCCUACGGGAGGCGGCAGUGGGGAAUAUUGCACAAUGGGCGCAAGCCUGAUGCAGCCAUGCCGCGUGUAUGAAGAAGGCCUUCGGGUUGUAAAGUACUUUCAGCGGGGAGGAAGGCGGUGAAGUUAAUAACUUCACCGAUUGACGUUACCCGCAGAAGAAGCACCGGCUAACUCUGUGCCAGCAGCCGCCGUAA